rnacentral:rRNA from 1 species
GAUGAACGCUGGCGGCGUGCUUAACACAUGCAAGUCGAACGAUGAAGCCCAGCUUGCUGGGUGGAUUAGUGGCGAACGGGUGAGUAACACGUGAGUAACCUGCCCUUAACUCUGGGAUAAGCCUGGGAAACUGGGUCUAAUACCGGAUAUGAGCGUCCACCGCAUGGUGGGUGUUGGAAAGCUUUAUCGGUUUUGGAUGGACUCGCGGCCUAUCAGCUUUUUGGUGUGGUAAUGGCUCACCAAGGCGACGACGGGUAGCCGGCCUGAGAGGGGGACCGGCCACAUUGGGACUGAGACACGGCCCAGACUCCUACGGGAGGCAGCAGUGGGGAAUAUUGCACAAUGGGCGCAAGCCUGAUGCAGCGACGCCGCGUGAGGGAUGACGGCCUUCGGGUUGUAAACGUCUUUCAGUAGGGAAGAAGCGAAAGUGACGGUACCUGCAGAAGAAGCACCGGCUAACUACGUG